GAGAAUUUUUGAUGAUGGUUGUUGAUCUGGAAUAGAACAAGGCAUGAGAAAAGCUUCUCUUGUUACUCAAUUUGAAUAAGCUAAAAAAGUAUUCCUAAAUUUGGUUUUGUGUUUCUAACGUGUUUAAGAGAAGUUUUGUUUGCUGUUUCCAAGCCUCUUCUUCUCAUGCAGUAUUCAUGGGAUUUUUAAAUUAGUGUCAUGAGGCAGUAUCUAAAUAAUUUUUUCUCCUUUUAUUUCACGGUUGACUUAUAGCAUUUCCCAAUAAAGGAAUCCUUUCUGUCCCGUCUCUUAAGCAGUCCUUCACUUUUUGCUUCUGAGUACUUAAAAUUGACCAGCUCAUUUUUUUGUGAGGGAGCUUGUUCUGUUUUUGGAUCACCCUAAUGAUAAGGGAGUUCUGUAUACUAAAAUAUUGUAUGCAACUUUCAGACUUCAUAACAGCAUCUUAUUUCCUAUGGUGAAGUUUUAUUUUGUCAUCCUUUCUCAACUAUUGUGUUCACAGUUAGAUGUGGUCAGUGUGGUAUUGUUAAUCUCUAUUGACAGCAUUAGUGUCUUAUGUAUAUAUAAAUAAUUGAGGAAUUUGUCUACUAUUGCAAUCAGUGUUACGGAUAUUUUUAAAAGUAGGUACAUGAUGAGCUCCUGGCUAGUUCAGUCAGUAGAGCAUGUGACUUUUGAUCUUGAGGUGAGUUCAAGCCCCAUGUUGGCUUAGAGUUGAAUUUUUAAAAAAAGGUAAAAGUAGAUACAUGACAUAUUUCCACCCUAAUUUUGUAAAAAUUACUAAAGUAUGAACAGAAUUUAAGUAGUUGAGAUAUUCUAGUCACUAUACUAAACAUUUUACAUUCUUUAUUAGUGUAAUCCUCACAUCAACUUUAUCUUUGCUUUAUAGGAAAAACUGAUAGCUAGAGGGAUGAACUGUUUGCCUAUACUUACAGAGCUAUUAUGUGUAACAGCUGGGAUUCAGAGUGAUGUGCCUGACUCCAUGGUCUGCUACCUUGCUCUUUGCCCUUGUGAGAGAUUAUGAAGUUGGGCAGAUCCUGGCCAGGCUGAGGAUAUUGGAUCUCACUGUCCUCUUAGCUCCUCCACCCUUCUUAGGAGCAGAAAAGGAAGGGAGAAUGGAGUAAAAAUGGUAUACUAGAAGAAAUCAAUCACAGAAGAAGGCUGGAAUGGAGAAACUGAGGAAAAAAAGGUAUAAGAUAUAGGAAAAAAGUAGCAAAAUGGCAGAAGUAUGUCCUUAACUAAUAAUUAUCUUUAAAGGAUUAUUCAACUUAUGAAUAAUUGAAUUUAAUAAUGAUUGAACAAUAAUUUGAAUAAAAAAUUACAAAAAUCA